rnacentral:lncRNA from 1 species
CAUUGAUGCCACUAGAAAGCAGGAGGAGCCGCUGGCUAAGUUGACUGGAAGGAAAGUGAAGGAUGUCUCCAAAGAGACUGACGUGAAUAUCCUCAAGAACUUGAUUGCAGAGCUGCAGAAAGAGGUGACCGAGCUGGAGAAGCGUGGAGAUGCGUUGGAGGCCGAAAUAGAAGUCAAGAAAGCCAAAUACCUGGAGGAGAUAGAGGAGCUGGAGAAUUACAUUUGUCAGCUGGAGGAGGAGGAGGCUGAUCUUCAGUUCCAGAUGAAGGAUCAGAGUGGGGACUAUGAAGAACGGCUGAAUCAGAAGAUGAAUCUAGACAUAGAAAUUGCUGCUUACAGGUGAUGCAUGUUAUGACGAUCAUUAGUGGUGCUGUGUGAAGGCAAG